AGUGUGUCUUGUAUUGCCAACGCUGCUGAUGUCUGAAAUAACAAUGGCCUAGAGCAAAGAAAAGGAAGCAUUCGUCUUUAAAACAACCGACUACGCAGCAACAUGCAACCAUGUAUCUACCAUUAUCAUAAGGGUUUGUUAUUAGAAACACAGAGUUAAACAUCCGGAAUUGGCACAGCAGCAAAGCUUCAACUUCAAAAUAGUUGGAAGCCAUACAAGUAAUAGUAUUUAUUUAAAAUUUUACGUUUCUCAAUCUGAAGUUGAGUGCUGAGAAGCUCUUCCCGUGUUCAUAUAUAAUUGAAAUGUUCAAGUGAUGUGAACGAGGUAGGACAUCCAUUUAGAUCCAAAUCAUUCUAACAUCUAGAGAUCUUGCGUAGUUUGUCAUAAGUAAUCCCUCAAUCGUCCUCCAUUUUACUAUACCAUUCUAUUCCACAAAUUCAAAGCUAAUUCCAAUUACAAAGGGAACGGCCUCCUUGCGGAUAUUUAUUUAUUACGUAUAAAUUUAUCUUUGUUUAAUGUAUUUCUUUGAAAGUGAAAAUGCAGGCAGAACGAAACGGAAUCACUAAGAGCCGUUUUGGUCAGUGUGGGAACGGGGUGAAGUUAAAUCCGGCUGAGGUCUAAAGGCGAAGCCUUAAGCACGGGAUUUAUUUAAUAAAUUUACAAUUCGGGUGAUUUUUUAUUCUUAUUUCACAUCAUGUAAACUAUAUACACACCUUUUGAUUUUAUGCUUAAUAGGCUUUCUCGAAUAUACGCGGCGGAUGUUUUAAAAUUGCAUUAUGUCUGUAUAUUGGAGUAGGCCUAUCGUAGUUUAAAUCCCAGAAGUGUGUGAUUCAUUCCUCAUCAGGGCAAAACAUAUAGUUAACAAGAUGUCGAAUUAAGUUGUCGAUCGAGGAAGUUUUCAAUCCUUUCUGUUGAUUUCGUCGAAGGUUUUCGGCCGGAUUGCACUCAACUCAUCCCCAUACUGACCGAAAUGGCUCUGGAUGAUUUCGUUUGCUUUCCAAUAGACAAUCAUUCCAUCUAUUUCAAAGCGUGCUUUAUACUUGAGAAAACCGAAUACGCCUUGAUAAGUCUGCACGUGAGGCCGUUUCCCCUGUAGUUGGAAUGAAAUGGUAUGGUAGAAUGGUUGAAAAUUAGAUGAACUUGAAUUAACAGAUAUUUUUCUGGAUUUUUUUUAUCGCACACAUCACGUACAGUCUACAUUUUUCAAUAGCAGUGGUACAUAUUAAUCUGUCCUGAUUGUAAAUUAAUAGAAAAUUCUGAUGUUCAAUAAUUCUUGAAAUGCACAAAACUUAUCUUUAAAGGAUUAAGAUUUUAGUUAGUGGUAAUCUUAAUAGCCAUGUUUUUCUUGAAUCGUUAUAAUAUUUUUCCCUUCCAGAUUACGUUAAAUCAAGGGAUUUCUCUCCUACUAUAAUUACAACAAGGAGUCACAUCAAUUCCAAACAAGUUAACAAUGAAGGUUUUAUGGAAAAGCACUAGCACGUAACCUGGAUGAGCCCGGCGGAUCUCCUUAGCCAAGGUUUAAAAUGUUUUCUCUGUCUGGCUGUUACGCAAAACAAGGGUGCGUGACACAUACUAAAUCGGGUUACUAAUAUUGAUGGAUUUACAUUGCGCCGGAAAAAUUGCAGCUAGCAUCAACAGCCGUUAAAUUUCCCAAGGAUCUACGUAGGCGUCUCCAAUUGGAUAUGAAACAUCCUACUGACUGUCACCGUUUUACAAUGUGCUGAAAGAUACAAGAAAAACCUGGUGAUUAUGUGUUGAUAUUUAUGCGACUAAAAGCUGGCAAGACCUGGGAAGUACUAUUUUAAACAAAAACACGUAAGAUUAUUUAUUCUUAAACUACAGUUUGAUGCUGGUCAGACACGCUUGU